GAGAAUUUUGAUCUUUGCUUUUGUUUAGUAUUACAGAGAAGAUUAGCAUGACCCCUGCGCAAGGAUGACACGCAAAUUCGUGAAGCGUUUCAUAUUUUU
rnacentral:snRNA from 1 species